rnacentral:lncRNA from 1 species
CUCGCGGAAACGGACUUCCGAAACCCAAAGGAACACUGGAGAUUUAAAUAGGCUUUGCGGAGUGGGCGCCGUGUGAUGGCCUUGGUUUCCGAGCCACAAUAGCACCACUUUUUGAACUUCUUCUGCCAGUCGUGAGAGUUCAUCGGCUGAGACUCUGGGAAUUUCAGCGGAGCCCCCAGCUGCCCCAGAACCUCCCAGUGCUGCCCGGUUACUUAGUCUCUUGGAUGUCAUCGCAAGUGAACUGUGGCCAUCCUUGCCAGCCCAGGCUCAUAACUUCUGGACUGCUUCCUUAGGAAGCGGGGGUGGGGGGGGGAGGGGGGAGGGGGAGAGAGGGAGAGAGGGAGAGAGGGAGAGAGGGAGAGAGGGAGAGAGGGAGAGAGAGAGAGAGAGAGAGAGAGAGAGAGAGAGAGAGAGAGAGAGAGAGAGAGAGAGAGAGAGAGAUCCUGAGCGGUACUAUGGGCGAUUCGAAGAACCUACAGGAUGUGUGUGCUCAAGUCCUGGCCCUCCCCAUUUAGGUUUGCCCUAAUCAGUCUGGGGUUGCCAUGCCAACCGUCCCUCCGACAACAAAAUCAAGCAGCACUACUUACUGAUGCAUUCCUCUGGCUUUACUCCAGCAGGAGACUCCAUUUGCUGAACUGAUCUAUGCAAAAAUAAAUGCUACCUGCACAGAAACGUAAUAACCUAGAUGUCCGUCAUCGAAGAAGGUGUGGGUACAGUAUUCUAAUCAUCCCUAGAGCUAAGGUAAUGACGAAUACACUCACCAUGAUCUUAGUGAAGAAAGAGGCCUCAAAAGUAUCUAGGGGUGGGAUGAAGAGAUAGCUCGGUGGUUAAGAAGGCCCAAGGGUCAGUUCCCAGCACCCACAUGGCAGCUCACAACCGUCUGUUCCAGGAAAUCUAUCAUCUUUUGGACUCUGUGGGCACUGCGUACAUGAGAGUCACAUGCAUGCGUACAUGCAUGCAUGCGUACAUGCAUACAUACAUAGAGGCAAAACACCCAAGCACAUAAGGAGGAUGGAAACCGCUACCAGAGAAGACCCUUCAGCACCAUUACAUAGAGGACCAAGCUCCUAGCUCUUCAGCCUGGAAGGGAGAAACCACAUUCAAACCACAGCAGUCACAAUGCCUUGCCCCUGUGCAUCAUAUUCCCUUAGCAAGCAUGUUCAUGGAUUGCACAUGCCAGUCCCAGUGGCCAAAAUGAGAUAGCUGAGCACCAGGCUAUAAAGCUCAGAAAUAGAAAAACUGCCUCUACAACCCCCCCCCACACACACACACACACUUGUUUUCCAGAAGAAUCUAGAUUUAUUCUAUAUUCAAACUAACAGUGCUCGCCUCUGAAGGGCUCUGUGGUGGGCAAAGAGGCAGCAACAUUCUGAGAGUCCAGUCAGGGCUGGCCCCUGCCUCAGUCUGAUGAGUGCAUUCUGCUGGGACAGAACUCAGAGCAGAGCCCUCCCUGAAGAACACGGCACAACGUACAACAGGUGGCCCGUGCACCAGUGCUCAAAAGGGCUCAGCGGCCAUCAGCUGUCAGACUUCUCCAGUGACAAUGACGACGAAGAUGUUGACGAAGAACUAGACAGUAAGCUAGUUCUCUCCUCUCUCCGGCAGUACAGACACAUGCUGGAGAGUUGGGAAUGGAGGUCACUUUCUAAGGUGGAGAAAAGCUGGUCACAGUUCCUGCACUGUGGUGGGGCAUUUUCAAGAAACAGAAACGAUGUGCAGGUCAGAGGAGAUCAAGCUGCGAGUGUGGAAUCCCAUUCCCCACCACCUGCCAGCCUGGAUGCAUCCCAGGCAAGUCCUUCCCUCUCUGAAGUCUCUCACCCCACAAACUGCCCAGGGAAGACUGGGAGCAUCAGACGUGGGUUGCUGCCCAGCCUUUCCCUCCAAAGCUAGGAGGGUACCCAGGGCUGGACCUCAUGUAGCCACGUGCUUGGGAGGAGGAAGACAGGGUUGUGUCCAGCCCUUGUCAGGUGUUCUCUGUACAAAGUGAUCCAGAGUGGAACUGUGGGACCCAAGGAGUGUUCUGAGUCCUUGAUACUCUGAGGACAGCUGACUUACAGAGCAGAGAGUUAGAAAGAAGCAAGGCAAGUAGAUAAGGAUUUGUUUUUGUUUUUCAAUUGUAGGAAUUAAACCCAGGCCCUCUUGAAUAUGUUAGGCCACUGAGCUACAUUCCCCCAUAACCCCCUCUGUGUGUGUGUGUGUGUGUGUGUGUGUGUGUGCAUGCAUGCGCGUGUGUGCGCGAGUGUAUGCAUGAGAGGGUGGGGAAGAACGUAUAUAUGUGUGUUUUAUUUUGAGACAGGUUCUCAAUAUCUCAGGCAGGCCUUAAACUUAAAUCCUUUGCCUCAACAUUCUGAAUAGCUAGUAUUAUAGCUAUGUGCCACCUGGCUAGCAGACAAGUUUUCUGAAAUAAACAGGGUGUUUGUUUAUCAU